AUUGAACGCUGGCGGCAUGCCUUACACAUGCAAGUCGAACGGCAGCACGGGAGCAAUCCUGGUGGCGAGUGGCGAACGGGUGAGUAAUAUAUCGGAACGUGCCCGGUCGUGGGGAUAACGUAGCGAAAGCUACGCUAAUACCGCAUACGAUCUAUGGAUGAAAGCGGGGGAUCGCAAGACCUCGCGCGAUUGGAGCGGCCGAUAUCAGAUUAGGUAGUUGGUGAGGUAAAGGCUCACCAAGCCGACGAUCUGUAGCUGGUCUGAGAGGACGACCAGCCACACUGGGACC
rnacentral:rRNA from 1 species